rnacentral:rRNA from 1 species
UACAUAGGUCUCAAGCGUUGUUCGGAUUCAUUGGGCGUAAAGGGUGCGUAGGCGGCGCGGUAAGUCGGGUGUGAAAUUUCGGAGCUUAACUCCGAAACUGCAUUCGAUACUGCCGUGCUUGAGGACUGGAGAGGAGACUGGAAUUUACGGUGUAGCAGUGAAAUGCGUAGAGAUCGUAAGGAAGACCAGUGGCGAAGGCGGGUCUCUGGGCAGUAACUGACGCUGAGGAGCGAAAGCGUGGGGAGCGAACAGG